rnacentral:tRNA from 1 species
GGGGAUGUAGCUCAGGGGUAGAGCGGCUGUUUUGCAAGCAGCGGGUCGGGGGUUCGAAUCCCUCCAUCUCCA